rnacentral:rRNA from 1 species
GAUGAACGCUGGCAGCAUGCUUAACACAUGCAAGUCAACUUGAAAGUCGGUUUGGGUGGCGGACGGGUGAGUCACGCGUAUAGAACUUGCCUCACAGCUAGGGCCCACUGUUGGAAACGAAUGCUAAUACCUGAUAUUAUGAUUAUAUGGCAUCGUAUCAUUAUGAGAGCUAUAUGCGCUGUGCGAGGGCUUUGCGUCCCAUUAGCUAGUUGGAGAGGUAACAGCUCACAAAGGCGAGGAUGGGUAGCCGGCAUGCGAGGGUGAUCGGCCACAAGGGGACUGAGACACGGCCAUUACUCCUACGGGAGGCAGCGGUGGGGAAUAUUGGACAAGGGACCGAGAGUCUGAUACAGCAAUUCUGUGUGCACGAUGAAGUUUUUCGGAAUGUAAAGUGCUUUCAGUUGGGAAGAAAAAAAUGACGGUACCAACAGAAGAAGUGACGGCUAAAUACGUG